AAGAGACAGCAGUCGCCACGGUAAUACGUAGGGUGCAAGCGUUAAUCGGAAUUACUGGGCGUAAAGCGUGCGCAGGCGGUUUUGUAAGACAGAGGUGAAAUCCCCGGGCUCAACCUGGGAACUGCCUUUGUGACUGCAAGGCUAGAGUACGGCUGAGGGGGAUGGAAUUCCGCGUGUAGCAGUGAAAUGCGUAGAUAUGCGGAGGAACACCGAUGGCGAAGGCAAUCCCCUGGGCCUGUACUGACGCUCAUGCACGAAAGCGUGGGGAGCAAACAGGAUUAGAUACCCGAGUAGUCCCUGUCUCUUAUAC
rnacentral:rRNA from 1 species